rnacentral:lncRNA from 1 species
CUCAUAAAUAAUUCUGUAGUCGGUAGAUUUCUUUUACAAGAUAUAUAAUGUUUAAUUGAACCCUGAAAGAUACCUUUCCCUACGAACUCCAAGAAAUCUCAAACGUUCAUCCACAACGGUCACAAAAUUUUUCCUCGAGUACUCUACACCCGGAAUUCCGGUAAGUACGCAAAUAUUAGGUACUCGUGAAGAAAGCCCCAACGGCUAGAAAACCAGUUCAGAACUGUUAGGUACACCCCAUACGCAUCAUUUCUGAAAAUAUGACCGUUGAACUAAUCUGGCAGCCCGGUCCUCCGGGCGUUUCCUCCCUGGUGUUUUGGCCGUAGAAGCCCCUGGUCCACCGAUCACAACUGCUACAGAUGAGC